CAUGAUGAGCUUUUAAAGCUUGGAUUGUAUAGACGGUAGUUGCAGUCGCCUACAUUAAAUAAUUUUUUUUAAUGAAAAAAGACUCAUUUAAAAAUGAGUCUUUACAACGUUAGGAUUAUUAUGAUUUUAACGAACUGU
rnacentral:sRNA from 12 species